UAAAUCCCAAAAAUCUUCUAAUUUCUACCCUCCUCUUCUGAAAAUUACUCCAAUUCUAGCCCAACAAUAAUAACAACAAUUUCAGCUGGCCCAUUCCCAAACAGGCCCAUGCCUUUCAAGUUUCCAGCAACCAAACAAUACCAAUAAUUCACCAGCCCCACCCCUCUUCCUAUAGGGUUAUUCUCAAAUAUAGACCCCAAUUAGGGUAGCUUUCAAAUUUUA
rnacentral:lncRNA from 1 species